rnacentral:piRNA from 9 species
CGUUGGUGGUAUAGUGGUGAGCAUAGC